rnacentral:rRNA from 1 species
CCCUUAGAUGUUCUGGGCCGCACGCGCGCUACACUGAUGCAUUCAACGAGUUAUUCUUUGACCUUGGUCGAGAGAUCUGGGUAAUCUUUUGAAAUUGCAUCGUGAUGGGGCUUACGGGUUGCAAUUACCCGUACCAACGAGGAAUUCCUAGUAAACGCAAGUCAUCAGCUUGCAUUGAUUACGUCCCUGCCCUUUGUACACACCGCCCGUCGCUCCUACCGAUUGAGCGGUCCGGUGAAGACUCAAGAGAUUCGUACAUCCUCGGUUUCCGAGAGUGUCGCGAGUCGAAUUUGUCUAAACCUUAUCGCUUAGAGGAAGGAGAANUCGUANCA